rnacentral:rRNA from 1 species
CGCUGGCGGCGUGCCUAAUACAUGCAAGUCGAACGGUCUUUCUAUGGAAGCUUGCUUCCACUGAGAAGAUAGUGGCGAACGGGUGAGUAACACGUGGGUAACCUGCCCAUAAGAGGGGGAGUAACAUCCGGAAACGGGUGCUAAUACCGCAUAGUUUUCUUGAUCGCAUGAUCGGGAAAGGAAAGACGGCCUUUGUGCUGUCGCUUAUGGAUGGACCCGCGGCGUAUUAGUUAGUUGGUGAGGUAACGGCUCACCAAGACGAUGAUACGUAGCCGACCUGAGAGGGUGAUCGGCCACAUUGGGACUGAGACACGGCCCAAACUCCUACGGGAGGCAGCAGUAGGGAAUCUUCCGCAAUGGACGAAAGUCUGACGGAGCAACGCCGCGUGAGUGAAGAAAGGUUUUCGGAUCGUAAAACUCUGUUGUCAGAGAAGAACAAGUUGGAGAGUAACUGCUCCAGCCUUGACGGUAUCUGACCAGAAAGCCACGGCUAACUACGUGCCAGCCGCGGC